UACAGAGGUGGCAAGCGUUGUUCGGAAUUACCGGGCGUAAAGGGCGCGUAGGCGGCAUUCUAAGUCAGACGUGAAAUCCCCCGGCUUAACCUGGGAACUGCGUCUGAUACUGGGAAGCUAGAGUAUGGGAGAGGGAUGCAGAAUUCCAGGUGUAGCGGUGAAAUGCGUAGAUAUCUGGAGGAAUACCGGUGGCGAAGGCGGCAUCCUGGACCAUAACUGACGCUGAUCCGCGAAAGCUAGGGGAGCAAACGGG
rnacentral:rRNA from 1 species